rnacentral:rRNA from 1 species
AGUCGAGCGCACUCUUCGGAGUGAGCGGCGGACGGGUUAGUAACGCGUGGGAAUAUACCCAGAUCUAAGGAAUAGCCACUGGAAACGGUGAGUAAUACCUUAUACGCCCUUCGGGGGAAAGAUUUAUCGGAUUUGGAUUAGCCCGCGUUAGAUUAGAUAGUUGGUGGGGUAAUGGCCUACCAAGUCUACGAUCUAUAGCUGGUUUUAGAGGAUGAUCAGCAACACUGGGACUGAGACACGGCCCAGACUCCUACGGGAGGCAGCAGUGGGGAAUCUUGGACAAUGGGCGCAAGCCUGAUCCAGCCAUGCCGCGUGAGUGAUGAAGGCCUUAGGGUCGUAAAGCUCUUUCGCCAGGGAUGAUAAUGACAGUACCUGGUAAAGAAACCCCGGCUAACUCCGUGCCAGCAGCCGCGGUAAUACGGAGGGGGUUAGCGUUGUUCGGAAUUACUGGGCGUAAAGCGUACGUAGGCGGGUUGUUAAGUUAGAGGUGAAAUCCCAGGGCUCAACCCUGGAACUGCCUUUAAUACUGGCAACCUAGAGUUCGAGAGAGGUGAGUGGAAUUCCGAGUGUAGAGGUGAAAUUCGUAGAUAUUCGGAGGAACACCAGUGGCGAAGGCGGCUCACUGGCUCGAUACUGACGCUGAGGUACGAAAGUGUGGGGAGCAAACAGGAUUAGAUACCCUGGUAGUCCACACCGUAAACGAUGAAUGCCAGUCGUCGGGUAGCAUGCUAUUCGGUGACACACCUAACGGAUUAAGC